rnacentral:rRNA from 1 species
UACGGAGGGUGCAAGCGUUAUCCGGAUUUACUGGGUUUAACGGGUGCGUCGGCGGCUUUGUAAGUCCGAGGUGAAAUCUCCGAGCUUAACUCGGAAACUGCCUUGGAUACUAUAAGUCUUGAGUGACGUUGAGGUUAGCGGAAUAUGUCAUGUAGCGGUGAAAUGCUUAGAUAUGACGUAGAACAUCUAUUGCGGAGGCAGCUAACUAAGCGUAUAUUGACGCUGAUGCACGAAAGCGUGGGGAUCAAACAGG